rnacentral:rRNA from 1 species
UACGUAGGUGGCGAGCGUUGUCCGGAUUUACUGGGCGUAAAGGGAGCGUAGGCGGACUUUUAAGUGAGAUGUGAAAUACUCGGGCUCAACUUGAGUGCUGCAUUUCAAACUGGAAGUCUAGAGUGCAGGAGAGGAGAAUGGAAUUCCUAGUGUAGCGGUGAAAUGCGUAGAGAUUAGGAAGAACACCAGUGGCGAAGGCGAUUCUCUGGACUGUAACUGACGCUGAGGCUCGAAAGCAUGGGUAGCGAACAGG